rnacentral:rRNA from 1 species
UUAAGCGACUAAGCGUACACGGUGGAUGCCCUGGCAGUCAGAGGCGAUGAAGGACGUGCUAAUCUGCGAUAAGCGUCGGUAAGGUGAUAUGAACCGUUAUAACCGGCGAUUUCCGAAUGGGGAAACCCAGUGUGAUUCGUCACACUAUCAUUAACUGAAUCCAUAGGUUAAUGAGGCGAACCGGGGGAACGUGAAACAUCUAAGUACCCCGAGGAAAAGAAAUCAACCGAGAUUCCCCCAGUAGCGGCGAGCGAACGGGGAGCAGCCCAGAGCCUGAAUCAGUGUGUGUGUUAGUGGAAGCGUCUGGAAAGGCGCGCGAUACAGGGUGACAGCCCCGUACACAAAAAUGCACAUGCUGUGAGCUCGAUGAGUAGGGCGGGACACGUGGUAUCCUGUCUGAAUAUGGGGGGGCCAUCCUCCAAGGCUAAAUACUCCUGACUGACCGAUAGUGAACCAGUACCGUGAGGGAAAGGCGAAAAGAACCCCGGCGAGGGGAGUGAAAAAGAACCUGAAACCGUGUACGUACAAGCAGUGGGAGCACAGAGCAAUCUGUGUGACUGCGUACCUUUUGUAUAAUGGGUCAGCGACUUAUAUUCUGUAGCAAGGUUAACCGAAUAGGGGAGCCGAAGGGAAACCGAGUCUUAACUGGGCGUUAAGUUGCAGGGUAUAGACCCGAAACCCGGUGAUCUAGCCAUGGGCAGGUUGAAGGUUGGGUAACACUAACUGGAGGACCGAACCGACUAAUGUUGAAAAAUUAGCGGAUGACUUGUGGCUGGGGGUGAAAGGCCAAUCAAACCGGGAGAUAGCUGGUUCUCCCCGAAAGCUAUUUAGGUAGCGCCUCGUGAAUUCAUCUCCGGGGGUAGAGCACUGUUUCGGCAAGGGGGUCGAUCCCGACUUACCAACCCGAUGCAAACUGCGAAUACCGGAGAAUGUUAUCACGGGAGACACACGGCGGGUGCUAACGUCCGUCGUGAAGAGGGAAACAACCCAGACCGCCAGCUAAGGUCCCAAAGUCAUGGUUAAGUGGGAAACGAUGUGGGAAGGCCCAGACAGCCAGGAUGUUGGCUUAGAAGCAGCCAUCAUUUAAAGAAAGCGUAAUAGCUCACUGGUCGAGUCGGCCUGCGCGGAAGAUGUAACGGGGCUAAACCAUGCACCGAAGCUGCGGCAGCGACGCUGAUGCGUUGUUGGGUAGGGGAGCGUUCUGUAAGCCUGCGAAGGUGUGCUGUGAGGCAUGCUGGAGGUAUCAGAAGUGCGAAUGCUGACAUAAGUAACGAUAAAGCGGGGUGAAAAGCCCGCUCGCCGGAAGACCAAGGGUUCCUGUCCAACGUUAAUCGGGGCAGGGUGAGUCGACCCCUAAGGCGAGGCCGAAAGGCGUAGUCGAUGGGAAACAGGUUAAUAUUCCUGUACUUGGUGUUACUGCGAAGGGGGGACGGAGAAGGCUAUGUUGGCCGGGCGACGGUUGUCCCGGUUUAAGCGUGUAGGCUGGUUUUCCAGGCAAAUCCGGAAAAUCAAGGCUGAGGCGUGAUGACGAGGCACUACGGUGCUGAAGCAACAAAUGCCCUGCUUCCAGGAAAAGCCUCUAAGCAUCAGGUAACAUCAAAUCGUACCCCAAACCGACACAGGUGGUCAGGUAGAGAAUACCAAGGCGCUUGAGAGAACUCGGGUGAAGGAACUAGGCAAAAUGGUGCCGUAACUUCGGGAGAAGGCACGCUGAUAUGUAGGUGAAGUCCCUCGCGGAUGGAGCUGAAAUCAGUCGAAGAUACCAGCUGGCUGCAACUGUUUAUUAAAAACACAGCACUGUGCAAACACGAAAGUGGACGUAUACGGUGUGACGCCUGCCCGGUGCCGGAAGGUUAAUUGAUGGGGUCAGCGCAAGCGAAGCUCUUGAUCGAAGCCCCGGUAAACGGCGGCCGUAACUAUAACGGUCCUAAGGUAGCGAAAUUCCUUGUCGGGUAAGUUCCGACCUGCACGAAUGGCGUAAUGAUGGCCAGGCUGUCUCCACCCGAGACUCAGUGAAAUUGAACUCGCUGUGAAGAUGCAGUGUACCCGCGGCAAGACGGAAAGACCCCGUGAACCUUUACUAUAGCUUGACACUGAACAUUGAGCCUUGAUGUGUAGGAUAGGUGGGAGGCUUUGAAGUGUGGACGCCAGUCUGCAUGGAGCCGGCCUUGAAAUACCACCCUUUAAUGUUUGAUGUUCUAACGUUGACCCGUGAUCCGGGUUGCGGACAGUGUCUGGUGGGUAGUUUGACUGGGGCGGUCUCCUCCUAAAGAGUAACGGAGGAGCACGAAGGUUGGCUAAUCCUGGUCGGACAUCAGGAGGUUAGUGCAAUGGCAUAAGCCAGCUUGACUGCGAGCGUGACGGCGCGAGCAGGUGCGAAAGCAGGUCAUAGUGAUCCGGUGGUUCUGAAUGGAAGGGCCAUCGCUCAACGGAUAAAAGGUACUCCGGGGAUAACAGGCUGAUACCGCCCAAGAGUUCAUAUCGACGGCGGUGUUUGGCACCUCGAUGUCGGCUCAUCACAUCCUGGGGCUGAAGUAGGUCCCAAGGGUAUGGCUGUUCGCCAUUUAAAGUGGUACGCGAGCUGGGUUUAGAACGUCGUGAGACAGUUCGGUCCCUAUCUGCCGUGGGCGCUGGAGAACUGAGGGGGGCUGCUCCUAGUACGAGAGGACCGGAGUGGACGCAUCACUGGUGUUCGGGUUGUCAUGCCAAUGGCACUGCCCGGUAGCUAAAUGCGGAAGAGAUAAGUGCUGAAAGCAUCUAAGCACGAAACUUGCCCCGAGAUGAGUUCUCCCUGACUCCUUGAGAGUCCUGAAGGAACGUUGAAGACGACGACGUUGAUAGGCCGGGUGUGUAAGCGCAGCGAUGCGUUGAGCUAACCGGUACUAAUGAACCGUGAGGCUUAACCUU